AAACAAGUGUACUGUAGGCAAGAAUAAUGUUGCAAAAUAUCUCAGAAGGAAAACAAGAGCCCUUAUCAAAAAAUACUAUUCAUUAAUAAUUCCUUUUUAAUGGCUAAAAAGAAUACAAGUGCUUGUCUGUAGAGAGGAAUUGUCUUCAUUAGGAAGGCAAUUUAAUUAGAGCAACUACUUAUGACUUAACAGAAUAUUUUACCAAACAUGCACUACUUAAAAACAUGUUUAUAUGAGUUCUAAAAUAAUAACUAGGAGAAGUUUACUGGAGAAACUGUACAUAGACAAAUCUAUAACUGCAUGUUGCAAAGACUCAUGAAUUUAAAAGUCAGCAAGGCAGGAAUUAACUUCAAGUGCAAGGUCAACUUAUUUGCUAGUUAGAACAGGGUUAUCGGACAAGCUAGAAGUGCUGGGGAUUUUGAUGUGAAACAGGUUAAAAUGGAGAUUUUCACAACUGAUAAAUAAUUAUCAUCAAUUAGCAUUUGGUAAGCAGGUGCCCUUACCAUAUAAAAGGAGGUGGUGGAUAGAUAGUGCUUUUCCUGCUGUGUGGCUUAUAGGAUGGUGAAGAGUUUUUGUUUAGAGAGAAGCCUUCUGAAAUUACAGAGAAAGAAAAAUUCAUUGCUUGGAGGAGGUUGGGGAAGGAUAUUGCUGAAAGACCUGCAUAUGGGCUAGGAUGUUGUUGAAUUGCUCUAGGCACUCUGAGAUUUGCCUCAUGUGGAAGGUGACCCACAAAAAGAAACAUGAAGAAAAACCUGGUGCGAUUCUAAUGCUGAGGAAGGUCCUGGUCUCUGACUAGAGCUGACAGCAUCUCCUGAGUACCUUCAAUGUUAGCUUCUGGGGCUUGAGAUCUAUAGGUUAGGAGUAGAGACUGAAAAAGGGAAUUGAUUAUAGUACAGCUAGAUAAAAAUAAAUUAAAAAAAAAAAAAAAA
rnacentral:lncRNA from 1 species